UAGUGACAUUGCAUCUAAUUGCAAGUGACUUUAAGGUGGCGUGCUUAUCGAGUGUGGUACCGAGCGUGCAGCCAGUGCCGGUGGUAAAGGUGGCAGUCGUGGGGGGAGCCUUCGGGGCCAUUAAGGGCGCCAUUAAGGGCGCGGGCGCCGCCAGCGCCGGAGCCCUGCUUAUUCAAAAAGUCACCACCGCACUGAAAGGCGCUCUAGCAGCUAAAGGAGCCUUUCUUAAAAAUGUAGCUUUAAAGACGGCAGCUCAUGGGGUGACUUUCGGCGCAGGCGCAGCACUCGGCGCCGCGGUGGUCGCGCACAAUCCACACGCUGAAUACGAGGAGUCUUACAUCGAACAACCACAUGUUUCGCAAAUUGACCACGGUUAUUACUACGACCAUCCGCAUUCAGUCGAAACUCCACAUGAGCCAAUAUACCAUCAACAAGCCCAUGCACCUUCAUAUCAUGAGCCAACUUACCACGAGUAUCUUCCCUUACAACAUUACCAUCAUGAAUCUUACUCCGAACCACAUUACAGGUGAAAAAAAUGUGUGACUUUCUUAUAUAAAAGUAUUCUUAAGUUGUUAAUUUGUGAACAAUUAUUACUAAGUCAUAUUAAA